UAACGCGUGGAUAACCUGCCGUAUACCGGGGGAUAACACUUAGAAAUAGGUGCUAAUACCGCAUAAGCGCACGGCUCCGCAUGGGGCAGUGUGAAAAACUCCGGUGGUAUACGAUGGAUCCGCGUCUGAUUAGCUAGUUGGCGGGGUAACGGCCCACCAAGGCAGCGAUCAGUAGCCGGCCUGAGAGGGUGGACGGCCACAUUGGGACUGAGACACGGCCCAAACUCCUACGGGAGGCAGCAGUGGGGAAUAUUGCACAAUGGGGGAAACCCUGAUGCAGCGACGCCGCGUGAGUGAAGAAGUAUCUCGGUACGUAAAGCUCUAUCAGCAGGGAAGAAAAUGACGGUACCUGACUAAGAAGCCCCGGCUAACUACGUGCCAGCAGCCGCGGUAAUACGUAGGGGGCAAGCGUUAUCCGGAUUUACUGGGUGUAAAGGGAGCGUAGACGGCAGCACAAGUCUGGAGUGAAAUCCCGGGGCUUAACCCCGGAACUGCUUUGGAAACUGUGCGGCUGGAGUGCAGGAGGGGUAAGCGGAAUUCCUAGUGUAGCGGUGAAAUGCGUAGAUAUUAGGAGGAACACCGGUGGCGAAGGCGCCUUACUGGACUGUAACUGACGUUGAGGCUCGAAAGCGUGGGGAGCAAACAGGAUUAGAUACCCUGGUAGUCCACGCCGUAAACGAUGAUUACUAGGUGU
rnacentral:rRNA from 1 species